GGGUCCGCCCGAGAUCACAUCCGAGGGCUCUCCGUUCGCAACACGUUCGAUAUAAGGCUUGACAUCAUCGUAGCUCACCACCGAGAAGACACCAAUCACAAAACCGCAGAAAAGAUACUGUUGAGGAGGAGACAAUCUCUCUUGUGCUUUUUGGUUGUGUUCUAGCAAGGGACAUCUGGUCUGAAGUUCCGGUUCCACUUCUCCAAGCUGGAUUCUCAAGCUCGGUUGCAGAGAAUAUCAAACAUGUGUUGGAACAGAUGGAAUGGCUCUCAUUACCUGAGCAGGUUAGGAAUGCGAUACCGUGGCUUAUUUGGGGUAUAUGGAAAGCAUUCUCAUUGCUACAGCAUUCUCAUUGCUACAGCAUUCGCAGAUUAAUAAGAAUAGAUUUAGCAACAACAAUUGGUAUCAAGAUUAAAAAAAAAAAAAAUUGUUUUUUUUUCUCUUUUUUAAAUAACGCUAGCUAAUUAGUGAGUUAUAACAUAAGUGCGAUCCAUUAGUUAAAUUGCUUUUUUUGAAAA